CAGUCUUAUCAUCAUUCAGUUGCACAUGCCUGAAUUGCUUUUUGUGAGCAGGCUUUUUGUGAGUCUACUGAAAAAGUUGGCCACCUAAAGAAGGAAGAGACAGUUGGUGCAUCUUCCAGAUCGAAAUAAACUCUGGCUUCUGUUGGGUCAUGAAGAAGAGAGGGAAUGGGAAGAAAUCUAAAAUGAGAAUCCGAAGAAUAUCCUCCAAAAGAGCUACUAUUGUCCCCAGUUCUUGACACAGAGCUUCAAUAACCUUUGGAAUUUUCUGAGCAGUACAAGUGCCUUUGUUAAGCUAAUGAGGUGACUCAGCCUAGGCCCCCUUCAUGAUGGGGCUAUCACCAGGAAGACCAAGCAGGUAGAUAUAGGGUUGGGACUUUCAGCUGCCGGACCUCCGGGAAGAGGCUGGAGAUUAAGUUCAAUCGGGCAGCCAGUGAUUUACUGAGUCAAUGAAGCCCCAGUAAAGUCUUUGAACACCAACUCAGCGCAGCUUCCUCCUGGUCAGUGCACACAUGGAUGUGCCAGGAUGGUGAAGCGCUCCAACUCCCUGAGGAGGGUGUGACAGCUCUGCUUGCCAUGACUGGAUUCCUGACCCACAAAAACAGCUAACUAAUAAAUGUUUGUUGUUUUAAGCCA
rnacentral:lncRNA from 10 species